ensembl:lncRNA
CAGUAGUGCUUGGGGCUGGCACCGCGGUGCAGCAGGCUAAGCUGCCGUCCGCAGUGCCAGCUUUCCCGUGAGCACCUGCUCAUGUCUGUGAGUACCUGGUCUGCCCCUGCCGUCCCAGUAAGCCCCGGAGUUCUUCCAGCUGCAGGGCACCUGGCGCCCAGAGCCCAUGAGCCCAUGCUUGCCGGGCCACAGUGCCUGCUGAACGGCAGGGAGCUGCGACCUCAACGUCUCCUCAGAAACUCGGCUUGAAACCGCAGUGUCACGUGUUGACAACUGUGGAUGGGCCAGGCCACGAGGGCUCCGCCCUCAGGAUGGGUUCAUUUUCCUGUGGGAGUGCCUCCACGACCACGGGGCGGGCAGUGAGAAGAGCCCUCCCUUGCCUUCCGGCUCCUGCCGUGGACGACGCGGCGUCGGGGCCCUGCCAGAGCCAGCACUGUGGACUCUCAGCCUCCAGAGCUCUGCGGCCAAUCAACUUCCAGCUACAGAUACGCCAGCCUCCCAGGGCUGUCCCAGCAGCCCGGACGGCCGAGACCAAGGACGCAGGUGCAGGUGUGCUGCCGUGUGGAAGAGCAGCCCGGGAGCGGGGCUCGGGACGGCACCCACUGCCCUUGGGGUGUGCAGAGCUCAGUGUGUGAACGGGGACUGGUCACGGUCAGAAUCUGUGACACAGGUAGAAGCUGUGAACGGGACUGGUGGAGACCACGGACGCCCUCGCCAAGAUGCCAUCGGGAGCAUCACGACAGGAACACGGUUUACGGCUGCUUUAGAAUCCUCUUGCAGGUUUCCGGAAGGCGAGAGCAAUGCAGCCACUAGAAGCCCUCAGUGCUCACGGACACAGAAGGAACCAGAAUCUCACAAAGCUGGACUACUGAGGUCAGCACGCCCAGCCGGGUCCCAGAGGCAACGCCAUCCCCACGCCACACCAUCCUCUGCUGGGAUCUUCGAAGAGGACACUGCCAGCACACACCAAGAGCUAGGGAAACACAGAAAUAAAGAACACGUGGUGCACAGGCGCCCGUGAGGGGAGCAGAGCCACCAGACAGCCUCCAUAACUAAGAGAGUGACGCUGCCACAGAAAAACAGGCAAGCGCAGCAGAGCCAGAAGCCGAGACGCACUGCCCAGGCCAGAGCGCGUCUGAACUCUCUGAGGCAGGCAGACUGACAGUGCUGCAGGACGCAGAGCCGUCGAGCAGCAUCAGGGGAGAACACCCUGCAGCCCUCGCAGCCUCCGAGCGAGACUGGGAGCCUCAGAGCCAGAGCGCGUGCAGCUGCCGGCAGGAACUCCAGCCUCCCCAAGGCUGCAGCCCCGCGGCGGUGCCAGCAGUGGACACCCGGAUUCUGCCGUCUUCCGGAGGUAAGGAUCGUCAUCCCCACUUUGAAGGUGGGAAGAGCACAGCGCGGGGACCAGCCAGCGUCACAGUGCUUAAGUAACAGAACUGGGACGCCACGCGGUCUCUCUGCUGCAGCUGUCUGUGUCGCCACCCACUCCUUGCUGUCUCCUCUCUCGGCACCAGAGUGUGCCCCCCCCAGUCUGACGCGAGAUGGUUUCUCCGUGACGCCAGGGGACACCGACCUCAGACUCUGACACCGAGGGGCCGGGCUCGCUGGGGGAGCCUGACUCUGCUAAGGGGACACAGCGCCACGGCCACCAGACGCGAGUGGAGGAGCACGGCGUGGGCCACCUGCACAGAGUGCCCGCGGCGACGGGGAUGCACCUCCAGAACGCGGUGCCCGGCGAAUGGGAGCCACACCCAAGUCCACCUGCUGUGCACCAGCAGCCAGGGCUGGUCUUGCGGUCAGCGGGUUAAGCUGCUGCCUGCGAGGCCGGCGUCCCAUACAGCCACCACGUGAGUCCUGGCUGACCCACUUCAGAUCCAGCUCCCCAGAAACGCGCCUGGGAAAGCAGCAGCAGGUGGCCCACGUAUCUUGGGUCCUGCUACCCAUGUGGGAGACCUGCUCAGAGUUCCAGACUCCCGGCCCCUGCAGACAUCUGGGGAGUGAACCAGAGGAGGGAAGCUCGCUCGCGCUCUCUCUCUCUGUAACUCUACCUUUCAAAUAAAUAAAGUCUUUUAAAAAUGGAAACA